AGGCAACCCCCUAGCACUGUCAAUUGAUAAGGGAGGUGUUACUCUGCUCGUAAAUUGAUUCUUCAGCUCUUCAGAUUUGCCGACUUUUUGGAUGAAGCAAAUCUAGUAAAGCUCAAGAAAAUU